AACAGCCUUACUUGUACUCAUUUCGUUCUUUCACUGUGCCUCCGGGUUCCGUUCUUAUGAUUACUGCAAUUAUUCUAAUAUCUGAUUACAGCUAUUAUUCUCUUAGUGGAUGCGCUACCAGUGAUUCAACUCUUUCCGUUUUUCUUAUUCUUUCUUGUAUUGUAGGGCACGUCCCUUACUUCUUUCUACUAAUACAGAGUGUGGUUCUGUUCUGACUUCACCUUUUCACUAGUCCACUCCUUUAUCUAAAACAGAAAGCCCGUUUUGUUAUCAUAUGAGAAAGGAAUAAUUGAUGUCAGUAAACAGAAGAAUUAAGAUGAAGCUAAUGAACUAAGGCAUUGAAGAAAGAAAAGAUAGACUUAAAGCAAGGCAGGUCCGCUAAUAUAUUAGUUAUUAAGAAGUUAUUACUGCAGUUGUUUCCGAAGAACAAAUCCGAGUAUCAGACUGGAGCUUAUUAGUCUAAGCAUAAAGGAGUAGGGCAUGGAAUGGAACUCUACAGAUGGAAUCAAGUACGAUAUUAUUGUAGGGGUUUGGCAGCAUCACUCCAGAAUUGCAUUCAAUAGUAGCAGGCUUCAUAGGUGAAAAGAGGAGGUCAAAGGUUGGGUUCUAUUAGUUAAAGAAUAGAAGUCAGCAGUGUGGGGGACAGGCGGAUAGGCAGGAACCAGAAACUUAGAGAAGGGAGUAAACCUAAGAGAGG
rnacentral:lncRNA from 1 species